CCUGCGGGAAGGUAUUC
rnacentral:rRNA from 1 species